GACGAACGCUGGCGGCGUGCUUAACACAUGCAAGUCGAACGAAGAGCGAUGGAAGCUUGCUUCUUUCAAUCUUAGUGGCGCACGGGUGAGUAACGCGUAAUCAACCUGCCCUUCAGAGGGGGACAACAGUUGGAAACGACUGCUAAUACCGCAUACGAUCUAAUCUCGGCAUCGAGGAUAGAUGAAAGGUGGCCUCUACAUGUAAGCUCUCACUGAAGGAGGGGAUUGCGUCUGAUUAGCUAGUUGGAGGGGUAACGGCCCACCAAGGCGAAGCUCAGUAGCCGGUCUGAGAGGAUGAACGGCCCCAAUGGGACUGAGACACGGCCCAGACUCCUACGGGAGGCAGCAGUGGGGAAUCUUCCGCAAAGGACGAAAGGCUGACGGAGCAAAGCCGCGUGAGUGAUGACGGCCUUCGGGUUGUAAAGCUCUGUUAAUCGGGACGAAAGGCCUUCUUGCGAACAGUUAGAAGGAUUGACGGUACCGGAAUAGAAAGCCACGGCUAACUACGUG
rnacentral:rRNA from 1 species